CAUAAAACUCCCAUCUGCAAGGCCCUCGUGCAAACACAACUCUUGUGCGGGUCCCUCGUGCAAAGAUCUUCUGCAAGCGCAACAACGUGAGACUCUCUAGUGCAAAUCCCUUGAGCAAACCCAACCCCAGACUCCCUCGUGCAAAUCCCUCGUGCAAACACAACUCCCUCACGCCCUCACACCCCAGUCUCGUGAGACCCCCUCCUGCAAAUCCCUGGUGCAAAUCCCUCGUGCAAACACAACACCAGCACAACUCCCUCAUGUCCUUACAACUCAGCCUUGUGACUCCCUCGUGCAAACACAACCACGCGUCUCCCUUGUGCAAAUACCCCUCGUGCAAACACAACCUCAGCACAACACCCUUUCACCCUACAACCCAGCCUCAUGACACUUCCUUGUGCAAAUCCCUCCUGCAAACCCCUCGUGCAAACAGAACCCGAGCACAACUCCCUUACGCCCUUACAACCCAGCCUCGUGAGUCUCAGCCCUCGUGCAAACACAACCCUUUGUGACUCCCUUGUGCAAACACAACUCCAGCACAACUCCCUUACACCCUUACAACCCAGCCUCGUGAGACUCCGCCCUCGUGCAAACGCAACCCUUUGCGACUCCCUGGUGCAAAUCCCUCGUGCAAACACCACCACCCCCCCGCCGUGCGCUCACCUUGAAGCGGCGUGCGAGGAACUUGUUCUUCAUCUCCAGGAAGUUCCCUUUGGACGCCUCGCCCUUGAAGGGCUCGUUGAUCACCCCGAAGGCGCCGUCGUUCUGGAUGUCCGUCCAGCGCGCGUAGCCGUGGCUGAGCGCUAAGGGCUGCCACCGGCACCAGGGGGCGCCACUGGGGCACCAUUGGGGCACUACUGGGGCACGAGUGGGCACCACUGGGGCACUACUGGGGCACUACUAUGUCACCACUGCGUCGUUGGGUCGCCAUUGGGCACCACUGGGGCACUAUUGGGCACUAUUGGGCACCACUGGGGCACUACUGGAGCACUGUGUCGUUGGGUCGCCAUUGGGCACCACUGGGGCACUACUGGGGCACUACUAUGUCACCACUGUGUGCUGGGUCACCAUUGGGCACCACUGGGGCACUAUUGGGGCACUAUUAUGUCACCACUGGGGCACUGCGUCGUUGGGUUGCCACUGGGCACCACUGGGGCACUACUGGGGCACUACUAUGUCACCACUGCGUUGUUGGGUCACCAUUGGGCAACACUGAAGCACUGCGUCGUUGGGUCGCCAUUGGGCACCACU
rnacentral:lncRNA from 1 species